rnacentral:lncRNA from 1 species
CACCCCAUGAAGUGAAUGUUAAUAUGAAUUCAUGUAAGCUAGCUGCAAAGUACUUUUCAAUCAAAAGAGAAAAAAGAAGAAAGGAAGAAAAAGAAAAGCGUGUAUCGUAGUGACAUUUUUCACAGAAACAAACCCAUUUUCAAGCUUGACCGAAAUGUGAAAGUGUGAUAGUGGUUUUGCAUUUCAUCAUGAAUAUUUCAAAUACAUCUGAUUUCUACACAUGCUAUGACUGCUAACGUGUGAAGUCACUUAAUUAAGUAUAUGUUUAACCCUUUUCUUUGCUGAGAGGUUCUCGUGAGAACUUAAGCUUAUUGAACCAAACCAAAGCUAUGGCCAGCAAAUAUAGUCACCCUACUCUUGAAAAACAUGUAAAAAAAAUCCCUGAAAACCAUUGUUAGAUUAUUCAUUUUCUCUCUCUCUCUUUUUUUUUUUUUUUUUUUUUUUUCUACUUGAUGAUAUUUUUAUGUCCAGUUACUACUAUUGUAUAUUCUUCAGCAGGCUCUAGGCGUGAAGGUCAGAGAUAAAUUCUUCCUGCUGUGAUGUUUUCUGGGCCCUGAAAUCACAUAUAAUGUUCAUCUUCUUUGCAUUAUUUUGUGAUGUGACUUGGUUGAACUAAAGAUUGAUUUGAAAUUAUCUUUGUUAGGAGUGGAGAGCUGAAAGGAAGAGAAAGGAAAACUUUUUUUUUUUUUUUUUAAACUUGCAGCUGAAGAGGCCUGGCUUUGUUUUUUGUCACUGAAAAUCUUUUCAGAAAGGCACGUUACCAUAACUGAAAUAGGUGUAGCAACCCAUGAAAGCCUUCACUCUGAGAAAUGCACUGUACCAUUUUAUCAUCUGGUACAAUAAGAUGCCAUCAUACAGUGAGAUCAUCCUUCUGAUCCUGUCCAGGCUCAAAGUCACCUGCCUGCCCAAUUUACAUUACUUAUUAAACUCACCUACUGCCAAGAAUUUUUGAAAAAGUCAUGUUUGUGAAGAGUUCUGGAUCAUGCAGAGAAGUGUAUGGAAAGCUGGAAUGGUAAAGUUGUAAAGUAUCUCGUGCACUGUUCACUUUUAUUGAUGCUGUGGGAUAGAGCAAGACUAAUUUUGGAAUGUGUUCGCUUUUCUGUUCUGGAAAUGUGGCUAUUUCAAAAUUACAUAUGUAUUUGUUUUUGAGAGAUUCAGGAAAGCAUCUAGGAAUUUCUUUUAGAAGUGACAUGGGAUUCUAUUUUAGAUGUGAUCUGUAAACUGCAUGAAGAAAACUGGUUUAUAUUUAAAGUGAUAUUGUCAUGCACUGGAGCAGAAUAUAGUUCUGUAUGUAUAAACUGCACUCCUCUGUCUGAUACUACCUCUCUGUUAUUUACCAGGAUAGCUCCCAGAAGAUGUGAGUCACUGUUGUACUGUUAUAAUAGGCUCUGUACAAAUAAGUCUCAUGGUACAGUUCAAGCUGCCAGCAUUCACUCUGGAAAGGGGAACGUUGUAAGUUCUUCUUCAUAAUAAUAACUAGUUAACCUAGAGAUGAAGUGUCUUGGGCCUAGCUCAGCCAUGCAGGUUAGAUGGAGAAGCAAGGUUUCUUCCUUGAAUCUGAACAGCCACAUAAAAUGUAAUUAAAUCUUGCUCUGUGGGUGGGAUACGUACAAAUAUGUAUCCAGAGAGAGACUUAAAGGAGAAGAAAGCAGUACCCUUUCCCCUUCUACAUGUCAGCCCCGAUUCACAGGGACAGAGAUGUUUGGGGCCAAGGAAGCUGCUUUAAUUGCUGCUGCCUUGGUUGGCUCUCCUGCUUCUAACAGUUUUUAAAGGGGGAAUGUGACUGUUUCCUGAGUGAUAGGACCUCUGAGGGGUGCUUCUGCAGUAGCACAGUUUAUGCAUCACCUUUUCCUCAGUGGAAUGUCUAAAGGCACCAUCUAGUUGUGAAACUGAAACAGUAGUAAUAGAGAUGAACAAAACAGAGAGAAUGUGUUGCUGCUAUAGCCAUGGCCUAAAAUGCUAAUAGUCUGUAAUGUACCAUAAUGAAUAUUAAUAAUCACUAAUAAAUGCACUUUUAUAGUGAUGGAAAAGAGUGUG